rnacentral:scRNA from 1 species
AUUGACUGGAGGGAGGGUGGCCUGGGUGAGGAUAUGUGGCUACAGAGUGUGUUGUGGGCGGUGCUUGUGGGCCCAGAGGUGAGUGGACAGGUGAGUGUGUUUGCAAGGUGAGUGAUUCCCCCAGACACUCCCCCGCCUACACUUUGAUCUUCCCUGAUUAGGUUGUGACCCCAGCCCCGCCUGGACGCCCCAAAUGUAAAGCUCCCCUCCCCACAGCCCAAUUCCGCUUUCCUCCACCCAUGUACAGUCGUCCAGGUUAUGUAGUACA